AUGGGUUUGGCCCUCAUCCUGACUCCUUCUGUUCUUCCGCUAGUUCCUGGGGAGCAGCGGCAGCUAAAGCAGCAGCAAAGGCAGCUAAAUACGGUCGUGGGGCAGGUGUCUUUCCUGGCGGUGGAACGGGUGUCUUGCCAGGGGGCGGAACAGGCGUCUUGCCAGGGGGAGGCGUUGUGCCAGGUGUUCCUGGAGCAGGAAUCCCCCAAACUGGACUGCAACCAGGGGCCAAGCCACCUAAAUAUGGUGUUCCAGGAGCUGGGCUGGGUGGCUUUGGCGUACCAGGCUACGGUGGACGAGGAGGAUAUGGGGUCCCCGGCGCAGGGGGAGCGGGCCUUGGUGGAGCUGGAGCUGGAGGUGCGUAGAGAUUGUUCAGCCAGAGCACUGGGAAGGAAGCCCCCAAUGUUGUGCUCUGAAUUUGGGGGUGGUGUGAGGGGACUUUGCAAGAUGUCUCGGUGGCCUUACCCAACGGUGGCCACAGUGAGUUGA
rnacentral:lncRNA from 1 species